GACGAACGUUGGCGGCGUGCUUAACACAUGCAAGUCGAACGGUAAGGCCCUUCGGGGUACACGAGUGGCGAACGGGUGAGUAACACGUGGGUGAUCUGCCCUGCACUUCGGGAUAAGCCUGGGAAACUGGGUCUAAUACCGGAUAGGACUCCUGGCUUCAUGGGUGGGGGUGGAAAGCUUUUGCGGUGUGGGAUGGGCCUGCGGCCUAUCAGCUUGUUGGUGGGGGAAUGGCCUACCAAGGCGACGACGGGUGGCCGGCCUGAGAGGGUGGCCGGUCACACUGGGACUGAUAUACAUCCCAGACUCCUACGGGAGGCAGCAGUGGGGAAUAUUGCACAAUGGGCGCAAGCCUGAUGCAGCGACGCCGCGUGGGGGAUGACGGCCUUCGGGUUGUAAACCUCUUUCAGCUAUGACGAAGCGCAAGUGACGGUAGUAGCAGAAGAAGGACCGGCCAACUACGUGCCAGCCGCCGCAGUAA
rnacentral:rRNA from 1 species